rnacentral:rRNA from 1 species
AUGAGCAUCCUCAGCUGGAAAUGCCGGGGACUAGGGCAGCCCCGGACAGUUCAGGAGUUAGUGUGCCUGGUGCACACGUACAAGCCCAAGGUAGUGUUCAUCUCGGAGACACGGCAGCGAAAUGAAGUAGUGAAUAAAUUGAGGUGGAGGCUUGGCCUCAAGCACUGUAUCACGCAGGCCGGCAAAGGAAAAGGAGCCGGCAUUGCGUUGUUCUAUGAUGAAAAUGUUGAA